UGAACGCUGGCGGCAUGCCUUACACAUGCAAGUCGAACGGCAGCACGGGUGCUUGCACCUGGUGGCGAGUGGCGAACGGGUGAGUAAUACAUCGGAACAUGUCCUGUAGUGGGGGAUAGCCCGGCGAAAGCCGGAUUAAUACCGCAUACGAUCUACGGAUGAAAGCGGGGGACCUUCGGGCCUCGCGCUAUAGGGUUGGCCGAUGGCUGAUUAGCUAGUUGGUGGGGUAAAGGCCUACCAAGGCGACGAUCAGUAGCUGGUCUGAGAGGACGACCAGCCACACUGGGACUGAGACACGGCCCAGACUCCUACGGGAGGCAGCAGUGGGGAAUUUUGGACAAUGGGCGAAAGCCUGAUCCAGCAAUGCCGCGUGUGUGAAGAAGGCCUUCGGGUUGUAAAGCACUUUUGUCCGGAAAGAAAUCCUUGGCUCUAAUACAGUCGGGGGAUGACGGUACCGGAAGAAUAAGCACCGGCUAACUACGUGCCAGCAGCCGCGGUAAUACGUAGGGUGCGAGCGUUAAUCGGAAUUACUGGGCGUAAAGCGUGCGCAGGCGGUUUGCUAAGACCGAUGUGAAAUCCCCGGGCUCAACCUGGGAACUGCAUUGGUGACUGGCAGGCUAGAGUAUGGCAGAGGGGGGUAGAAUUCCACGUGUAGCAGUGAAAUGCGUAGAGAUGUGGAGGAAUACCGAUGGCGAAGGCAGCCCCCUGGGCCAAUACUGACGCUCAUGCACGAAAGCGUGGGGGAGCAAACAGGAUUAGAUACCCUGGUAGUCCACGCCCUAAACGAUGUCAACUAGUUGUUGGGGAUUCAUUUCCUUAGUAACGUAGCUAACGCGUGAAGUUGACCGCCUGGGGAGUACGGUCGCAAGAUUAAAACUCAAAGGAAUUGACGGGGACCCGCACAAGCGGUGGAUGAUGUGGAUUAAUUCGAUGCAACGCGAAAAACCUUACCUACCCUUGACAUGGUCGGAAUCCCGCUGAGAGGUGGGAGUGCUCGAAAGAGAACCGGCGCACAGGUGCUGCAUGGCUGUCGUCAGCUCGUGUCGUGAGAUGUUGGGUUAAGUCCCGCAACGAGCGCAACCCUUGUCCUUAGUUGCUACGCAAGAGCACUCUAAGGAGACUGCCGGUGACAAACCGGAGGAAGGUGGGGAUGACGUCAAGUCCUCAUGGCCCUUAUGGGUAGGGCUUCACACGUCAUACAAUGGUCGGAACAGAGGGUUGCCAACCCGCGAGGGGGAGCUAAUCCCAGAAAACCGAUCGUAGUCCGGAUUGCACUCUGCAACUCGAGUGCAUGAAGCUGGAAUCGCUAGUAAUCGCGGAUCAGCAUGCCGCGGUGAAUACGUUCCCGGGUCUUGUACACACUGCCC
rnacentral:rRNA from 1 species